ACCAACAACAUGGGUCAGUGUGUCUGGCUGUUAACCAGAAGGCUGGUGGUUCAAGCCCACCCAGGGAUG